AAGUCGUAACAAGGUUUCCGUAGGUGAACCUGCGGAAGGAUCAUUAAAUACAGUAGAUUUCUACUGAUCGGGGGGUGGAAAGUCCCAGUUUGAUUACUGGGCCACGAGUAAGCCCCCUGUCUGCACCCUUGUCUUUUGCGUACUCAUGUUUCCUCGGUGGGCUUGCCUGCCGAAUGGACAACUCUAAAACCCUUUUAAUUUUUAAUCAGCGUCUGAACAAUUAUAAUAAUUACAA
rnacentral:misc_RNA from 1 species